AGUUCACUAUAAAUACCCCUUCCCCUGUGUUAUUUCACUCUUCAGCUCCUAAAUAACACAGCGCCCUCAGUAAAAAAAAAAAACACAGCUCCCAAACAAAAUCCCAUUCUCGACGAUAUUGAACAAACAACCAUCGCCGAUAUUGAACAAAGAACUGUCGCCGUCGCCGAUAGAGCCAACCGUCGCCGUUGCCGUCGCAGAUAAGAGCCUACCGUCGUUGAUUCAAACCCAUUCUCGACGAUUCGAACCCAGUUGUCACCGAUUCGGAGCCAUUCUCGACGAUUCGAACCCAGCCGUUGCCGAUAGAGCCAACCGUCGCCGUCACCGUCGCAGAUAAGAGCCUACCGUCGCCGAUUCAAACCCAUUCUCGACGAUUCGAACCCAGUCGUCACCGAUUCGGAGCCAUUCUCGACGAUUCAAACCCAGUCGUCGUCGAUUCGGACCAUUCGCGACGAUUUGGAUUCGAUUCCAAGCGCUUCUGAUUUGCCUAAGGCCAACGAUCUCAGCUCCAUUGUACACAACACCGUCCAUGAUGUUGUAGAGGAAGGGAGACCAGAGCAGUGGGUUGAAGUGAUCUCUUAGGAGCCUGGAGCUUUUGUUUACCACAAUUUCUUGCUUUCUCUCUUUUGUGGCUGAAGAAAUUGUGAGGAACAAGGUGAAGAACACAAGUUAACUUUGAAUUUUUUCUGAAAGUUGUAAACUUAGCUUGAGCAAAAUUUCUUAUUGGUGGCUUUAGGGGAUUUCCUUUAGGCAUUAUUUGAAGACAUAUGAGGACAUCUUCCGUUGGUUUUAAUUAUAUUAUGCUACAUUUUUUGUAUUGUUAUAAAACAUCUUAAGUUAUUGUAUUUGUUGCAAACAAUUAUUGUAUGGAAGGAGUUUGAAUUGAAUACUUGUUUUAAUUUUAA